rnacentral:lncRNA from 1 species
AUGCGCUCAGCCCAGAGGAAUGCAUCAAAUCACUGCCAGAUGCGCACGGCCCCCCGCCUGGCUGGGCCCCCCCAGCCACCCCCAACCCCACGGCACUGGGGGGCCACAGCCGGCCACGUGCCCCUAUGGGAUGUGCCUGUGGGGUGGGCGCCGGUGUCCCCCACGCGGGGUCACGCGGGGUCGUGCCUGUGCCCCCCGUCCCCAGUGCCCAUCACGGGCGCAGCGGAGCGGAAGCGGCUGUCAGAUGGAAUCUGGGUGCCGGCGGUGACAGCGCGGCGGGAGGGGACCGUGCCCGGCCACGUGGCCACUUAUGUAAGGAGAGUGCAAGGGAGGACAGCGAGGCGCUGGGGACACCGGCGAGGGGACACGGGGCCCCCGCCAUGCCCAUGGGCACAGACACAGAGCACUGAGCGCGAGGACACAGACGCACGGCGGAGGGGGCCGCGCUCCCCGCGCUGUCCCCAUCCCCAUGGCGCUGCAGGGACAGCCCUGGGACAAUGCCACUCAGCCCAGGUGCCCGCGGCCUUCUGCUCGCAUCCCCUGUGCCACCUUCUCGUGGUGCCAUGGGGGGGCCCACAGCAGCGUGGUGCCACCCGCAUCACAGCUGCGUCACUGCGGUCACCGCUUCCUUCCAGGCACUGCCACCGCCGGGGCUGCGUCACAAGGUGGGGGGGGCACACGGGGACACCCCCCAGCGGGUUUUGUCCCCCGUCACUGGGUGCCCACACCCAACCCCACAGCGUGGGGACAGGGGACAAGGGACACAAGGUCCUGGGACAGGGAGCAGAGAGGGGGUACCAAAAUCUGUCCCCCCGUCAUAGGGUUGUACACAGCACAAACACAGCUCAGCCCUACAGGAGGAGAGUGGGGGGGGGGGGGGGGAUGCGGAGGAUCCUGCAGCCCCCAACCCACCCUACAGGGGCCCCCUCCUCACCCCAACACCCCCAGCCCGGGGAGGGGGGAGUGGCAGAAUUGGGGGGCGGACAGUGUCUGGAUGGGGAGGGGCAAUGGCAGGGAUUGGGGCACCCAGAGAUUGCAGCCCCCCCCAGCACUGCAGCCCCACGCCCCCCCGCAGCUGGGAAGCUACAGAAUUAG